rnacentral:rRNA from 1 species
CCCGACCGCUAUCGGGGUGGGGCUAAGCCAUGGGAGUCGUACGCCCCGCCGCUGCGGGGCGUGGCGGACGGCUGAGUAACACGUGGCUAACCUACCCUCGGGAGGGGGAUAACACCGGGAAACUGGUGCUAAUCCCCCAUAGGGGAGGAGGCCUGGAAGGGUUCCUCCCCGAAAGGGUACGGCGGGGGUUAUCGCCGCCGUGCCGCCCGAGGAUGGGGCUGCGGCCCAUCAGGUAGUUGGCGGGGUAACGGCCCGCCAAGCCGAUAACGGGUAGGGGCCGUGAGAGCGGGAGCCCCCAGAUGGGCACUGAGACAAGGGCCCAGGCCCUACGGGGCGCACCAGGCGCGAAACCUCCGCAAUGCGGGCAACCGUGACGGGGUCACCCCGAGUGCCCCCUAUAAGGGGGCUUUUCCCCGCUGUAGGAAGGCGGGGGAAUAAGCGGGGGGCAAGUCUGGUGUCAGCCGCCGCGGUAAUACCAGCCCCGCGAGUGGUCGGGACGGUUAUUGGGCCUAAAGCGCCCGUAGCCGGCCUGGUAAGUCCCCCUCUAAAUCCCCGGGCUCAACCCGGGGAUUGGGGGGGAUACUGCCAGGCUAGGGGGCGGGAGAGGCCGAGGGUACUCCCGGGGUAGGGGCGAAAUCCUAUAAUCCCGGGAGGACCACCAGUGGCGAAGGCGCUCGGCUGGAACGCGCCCGACGGUGAGGGGCGAAAGCCGGGGGAGCGAACCGGAUUAGAUACCCGGGUAGUCCCGGCUGUAAACGAUGCGGGCUAGGUGUUGGGCGGGCUUAGAGCCCGCCCAGUGCCGCAGGGAAGCCGUUAAGCCCGCCGCCUGGGGAGUACGGCCGCAAGGCUGAAACUUAAAGGAAUUGGCGGGGAGCACCACAAGGGGUGGAGCCUGCGGUUUAAUUGGAGUCAACGCCGGGGAACCUCACCGGGGGCGACAGCAGGAUGACGGCCAGGCUAACGGCCUUGCCCGACGCGCUGAGAGGAGGUGCAUGGCCGUCGCCAGCUCGUGCCGUGAGGUGUCCGGUUAAGUCCGGCAACGAGCGAGACCCCCGCCCCUAGUUGCUACCCGGGGCUCCG